GAAUAUUUAGUACUGUGCUAUACUGUAACUGCUGUUUUACUGAAUACAUUGAAAGUAGCUGUUAUUCAUUAUUCCACAUAUUACAUUUCAUUUGGAAUGCAGGCUCAGGUUCUAUACCUGACCUUUGCAUUGCAUUAGCUUUUAGCUUACACCUUCUGUGCAGACUUUACAGUGCCAGGUAUUUGGAUAGGCAAAAUCAUGAACCAUUAUCCAAAAAAAUUUUAUCCUGCUCAGGACACGUAGUAUGUCUAACACCUUUCCCUGCUCUGUGAAGCAGCAAAUUAAGUUAAACCAAAGGACUGAAUAUUUAUUUAUUUUUAAAAACCCUGACAACCCUGAGUAUCUUGAAGGUGUGUAUUGUUCAACAAAGAAAAAGUAAAGAUGUUCAUAUAUAUUGUCAAGGUCAAAAUGGACAAGGACAUGACAAUCUUCUGACUCUCUGUAAAGCUACAAUAAUCAAAUGAGGAUCACACUGUUCUUCAAGGACUUUGAGAAACACUGUUCUUCAAGGACUUUGAGAUGAAAAGUAAACCAAAAAGUCAGUAACAGAGGAGAAAU